rnacentral:rRNA from 1 species
GACGAACGCUGGCGGCGUGCCUAAUACAUGCAAGUCGAACGAACCGCGACUAAGUGCUUGCACUAAGUCAAGGUGAGUGGCGAACGGGUGAGUAACACGUGGGUAACCUACCUCAUAGUGGGGGAUAACAGUCGGAAACGACUGCUAAUACCGCAUAGGACAUAGGAUCACAUGAUCCAGUGAGGAAAGGUGGCGCAAGCUAUCGCUAAGAGAUGGACCCGCGGUGCAUUAGCUAGUUUGUAGGGUAAAGGCCUACCAAGGCGAUGAUGCAUAGCCGACCUGAGAGGGUGAACGGCCACAUUGGGACUGAGACACGGCCCAAACUCCUACGGGAGGCAGCAGUAGGGAAUCUUCCGCAAUGGACGCAAGUCUGACGGAGCAACGCCGCGUGAGUGAAGAAGGUCUUCGGAUCGUAAAGCUCUGUUGUUAGAGAAGAACAGCGCAUAGAGUAACUGCUAUGCGUGUGACGGUAUCUAACCAGAAAGCCACGGCUAACUACGUG